GAUGAACGCUAGCUACAGGCUUAACACAUGCAAGUCGAGGGGCAGCAUGGUCUUAGCUUGCUAAGGCCGAUGGCGACCGGCGCACGGGUGAGUAACACGUAUCCAACCUGCCGUCUACUCUUGGACAGCCUUCUGAAAGGAAGAUUAAUACAAGAUGGCAUCAUGAGUCCGCAUGUUCACAUGAUUAAAGGUAUUCCGGUAGACGAUGGGGAUGCGUUCCAUUAGAUAGUAGGCGGGGUAACGGCCCACCUAGUCUUCGAUGGAUAGGGGUUCUGAGAGGAAGGUCCCCCACAUUGGAACUGAGACACGGUCCAAACUCCUACGGGAGGCAGCAGUGAGGAAGAUUGGUCAAUGGGCGCAGGCCUGAACCAGCCAAGUAGCGUGAAGGAUGACUGCCCUAUGGGUUGUAAACUUCUUUUAUAAAGGAAUAAAGUCGGGUAGGGAUACCCGUUUGCAUGUACUUUAUGAAUAAGGAUCGGCUAACUCCGUG
rnacentral:rRNA from 1 species